rnacentral:rRNA from 1 species
AGUGAACGCUGGCGGUAGGCCUAACACAUGCAAGUCGAACGGCAGCACAGUAAGAUCUUGCUCUUACGGGUGGCGAGUGGCGGACGGGUGAGGAAUACAUCGGACUCUAGUUUUUCGGGGGGGAUAACGUAGGGAAACUUACGCUAAUACCGCAUACGACCUACGGGGGAAAGCAGGGGGUCUUCGGACCUUGCGCGAGUGAAUGAGCCGAUGUCGGAGUGGGUAGUUGGCGGGGUAACGGCCCACCAAGGCGACGAUCCGUAGCUCGUCGGAGAGGAUGGUCACCCACCCUGGAACGUGACCACGGACCCGACUCCUGAGGGACGGCGCAGUGGGGAACAGUGGGCAAUGGGGGGAAGCCUUAUCCAGCCAGACCGCGUGGGUGGAGAAAGCCUUGCGGUUGGAAAGCCCUUUUUUUGGGAAAAAAAAGCAGCAGGUUAAUACCCAGCUGUUCUGACGGUACCCAAAGAAUAAGCACCGGCUAACUUCGUG